ACUCCUACGGGAGGCAGCAGUGGGGAAUAUUGGACAAUGGGGGCAACCCUGAUCCAGCGAUGCCGCGUGUGUGAAGAAGGCCUGAGGGUUGUAAAGCACUUUUAGUGGGGAGGAAAGUUAACAGGUUAAGAGCUAGUUAAGUUGACGUUACCCACCAUAAACAGCACCGGCUAACUCCGUGCCAGCAGCCGCGGUAAUACGGAGGGUGCGAACGUUAAUCGGAAUUACUGGGCGUAAAGCGCGCGUAGGCGGUUUGGUAAGUGGGAUGUG
rnacentral:rRNA from 1 species